GGGGGUGUAGCUCAGUGGUAGAGCGUUCGCUUUGCAUACUCCUUUGUAUGCGAAAGGCCCAGGGUUCGAUCCCCUGCUCCUCCA
rnacentral:tRNA from 1 species